rnacentral:rRNA from 1 species
GACGAACGCUGGCGGCGUGCCUAAUACAUGCCAGUAGAACGCUGAAGCUUGGUGCUUGCACCGAGCGGAUGAGUUGCGAACGGGUGAGUAACGCGUAGGUAACCUGCCUGGUAGCGGGGGAUAACUAUUGGAAACGAUAGCUAAUACCGCAUAAGAGUAGAUGUUGCAUGACAUUUGCUUAAAAGGUGCAAUUGCAUCACUACCAGAUGGACCUGCGUUGUAUUAGCUAGUUGGUGAGGUAACGGCUCACCAAGGCAACGAUACAUAGCCGACCUGAGAGGGUGAUCGGCCACACUGGGACUGAGACACGGCCCAGACUCCUACGUGAGGCAGCAGUAGGGAAUCUUCGGCAAUGGACGGAAGUCUGACCGAGCAACGCCGCGUGAGUGAAGAAGGUUUUCGGAUCGUAAAGCUCUGUUGUAAGAGAAGAACGAGUGUGAGAGUGGAAAGUUCACACUGUGACGGUAUCUUACCAGAAAGGGACGGCUAACUACGUG